rnacentral:rRNA from 1 species
AUUGAACGCUGGCGGCAGGCCUAACACAUGCAAGUCGAGCGAGCGGCGGACGGGUGAGUAAUGUCUGGGAAACUGCCUGAUGGAGGGGGAUAACUACUGGAAACGGUAGCUAAUACCGCAUACAAUACGCUGUGCCCAGACGGGAUUAGCUAGUAGGUGUGGUAAUGGAUCACCUAGGCGAAGAUCCCUAGCUGGUCUGAGAGGAUGACCAGCUAAACUGGAACUGAGACACGGUCCAGACUCCGACGGGAGGCAGCAGUGGGGAAUAUUGCACAAUGGGCGCAAGCCUGAUGCAGCCAUGCCGCGUGUGUGAAGAAGGCCUUCGGGUUGUAAAGCACUUUCAGCGGGGAGGCGUUACCCGCAGAAGAAGCACCGGCUAACUCCGUGCCAGCCGCCGCGGUAAUUC